GAUGAACGCUGGCGGCGUGCCUAAUACAUGCAAGUCGAGCGAACAGACGAGGAGCUUGCUCCUCUGACGUUAGCGGCGGACGGGUGAGUAACACGUGGAUAACCCACCUAUAAGACUGGGAUAACUUCGGGAAGCCGGAGCUAAUACCGGAUAAUAUAUUGAACCGCAUGGUUCAAUAGUGAAAGACGGUUUUGCUGUCACUUAUAGAUGGAUCCGCGCCGCAUUAGCUAGUUGGUAAGGUAACGGCUUACCAAGGCGACGAUGCGUAGCCGACCUGAGAGGGUGAUCGGCCACACUGGAACUGAGACACGGUCCAGACUCCUACGGGAGGCAGCAGUAGGGAAUCUUCCGCAAUGGGCGAAAGCCUGACGGAGCAACGCCGCGUGAGUGAUGAAGGUCUUCGGAUCGUAAAACUCUGUUAUUAGGGAAGAACAAAUGUGUAAGUAACUAUGCACGUCUUGACGGUACCUAAUCAGAAAGCCACGGCUAACUACGUG
rnacentral:rRNA from 1 species